AUGAUUUGGUCUCCAGCUGGAUCGAUGGUGAAGCCCUCCGUGUUUCUGCUCCCUCCCUCCUCUCUGCAGCUCUCUGAGGGUUCGGCCUCUCUGCUCUGCCUGCUCUCUGACUAUUCUCCACAAGGGGCGCUGCUGAGCUGGACUCUGGACGGUGUCGAGGUGAACGAAGGUGUUCUGACCAGCACAGAAGAUCAGAAGAACGGUGUCUACAGCCGCAGCAGCACCCUGAGAAAUUUCACUAAUGUAUCACUGUGGUGGACUUUUGGUGGAGGAACAAAACUCAGCAUCAAGGGUCCCACUGUGAAGCCCUCUGUGUCUCUGCUCCAUCCAUCGUCUCUGCAGCUCUCUGAGGGACCAGCCUCACUGCUCUGCCUGCUGUCUGCCUACUCUCCACAGGGGGCGACAGUGAGCUGGACAGUGGACGGCUCAGUGGUGAAUGAAGGGGUUCUAACCAGCCCUGAAGAACAGAAGAAGGACGGUUACACACGCAGCAGCACUCUGACUCUCAGCAAAGCACUCUGGGAAAAGGGAGAGGAGUUUGUCUGUACCGUCUCCCAUGACAGUGUCAAUCAUCCGGUCACGUUCAAAAAGAGCCAGUGUGAAGACUAACAGCUCCAAGAUAGAAUUAAACACUGAGCUGCUCACACAUCCAUCUACAAUAGAGUUUCAAUUCUACACAAUGCUGAUAUUCCUGUCUUUACUCUCUUCACUGUCCUGUUGCUCUUCCUGUAGUUUUGCUCUGCUGAAAUAAAGCUUCAUUUUGGA